GUCUGCUAACAGUAAAAAUACUAUAAUAAAUCGGUAACAUAUGUUACCAGGCAAGGAAAAGUGAUAUAAAUAAAGAGACUAGGAGACCCAAACCAAGUACAAUGUGAAAAGAAUAUUGCAUUCUUACCCAAAUACUCUUCGUGAUUGCCUGCUUUGCGGCUUUGGGCAAGUAUUUGUCAAGAAGAUCUAUGAGGAAUAGCCUCACAGGCACCUUAAAAAUAAGAAUUUUCCUGGCAUGAAAUGAUGCCUUUUGUGGAAAGGUGAGAAUGAUUCUGG